AUUGAACGCUGGCGGCAUGCCUUACACAUGCAAGUCGAACGGUAACAGGUCUUCGGACGCUGACGAGUGGCGAACGGGUGAGUAAUACAUCGGAACGUGCCCAGUCGUGGGGGAUAACUACUCGAAAGAGUAGCUAAUACCGCAUACGAUCUGAGGAUGAAAGCGGGGGACCUUCGGGCCUCGCGCGAUUGGAGCGGCCGAUGGCAGAUUAGGUAGUUGGUGGGAUAAAAGCUUACCAAGCCGACGAUCUGUAGCUGGUCUGAGAGGACGACCAGCCACACUGGGACUGAGACACGGCCCAGACUCCUACGGGAGGCAGCAGUGGGGAAUUUUGGACAAUGGGCGAAAGCCUGAUCCAGCAAUGCCGCGUGCAGGAUGAAGGCCUUCGGGUUGUAAACUGCUUUUGUACGGAACGAAAAAGCUCCUUCUAAUACAGGGGGCCCAUGACGGUACCGUAAGAAUAAGCACCGGCUAACUACGUGC
rnacentral:rRNA from 1 species